UACAGAGGGGGCAAGCGUUGUUCGGAAUUACUGGGCGUAAAGCGCGCGUAGGCGGCUUUGCAAGUCGGGUGUGAAAUCCCCAGGCUUAACCUGGGAACUGCAUUCGAGACUGCAUUGCUAGAGUAUGGGAGAGGGAAGUGGAAUUUCCGGUGUAGCGGUGAAAUGCGUAGAUAUCGGAGGGAACAUCAGUGGCGAAAGCGACUUCCUGGACCAAUACUGACGCUCAUGUGCGAAAGCGUGGGGAGCAAACAGG
rnacentral:rRNA from 1 species